UUGGCUGAAACUAUACUUGGGCUAGGGAGC
rnacentral:piRNA from 2 species